UAUCUCUUCGGAGGUACAUAUACUAAAAUUGGAACGAUAUAGAGAAGAUUAGCAUAGCCCUGGCAC
rnacentral:snRNA from 1 species